GGAGAGGACAGGACGGUCGCCGGCUCGGAUGCAAGGGUCGCCAUACCGACCCGCAAGCAUCCGGGCGGGAGGAAAGUCCGGGCUCCGAAGGACACGGUGAUGGGCAACACCCACCGGCCGCGAGGCCAGGGAAAGUGCAACAGAAAGCAGACCGCCGCACGGGCCUGCCCGUGCGGUAAGGGUGAAACGGCGAGGUAAGAGCUCACCAGCAGGCCGGGUGACCGGCCUGGCUAGGCAAACCCCACCGGGAGCAAGGUCAAACAGGGAGCAGUGACGGUGUCCCCGCGCGCAAGCGCUGGGCCGUCCGCGGGUCGGUCCGGUCCGCUAUCGACUUCCGGGUAGACUGCUGGAGGAGUUGAGCAAUCGGCUUCCUAGAGAAAUGGCCGUCGCCUGCAUGCGCAGGAACAGAACCCGGCUUACACGUCCUCUCCAACC
rnacentral:RNase_P_RNA from 1 species